rnacentral:rRNA from 1 species
CUGGCUCAGGAUGAACGCUGGCGGCGUGCCUAACACAUGCAAGUCGAGCGAGAUACGCUCAAACAGAGAUCGUCAACGGGAGAGCGUGGACAGCGGCGGACGGGUGAGUAACGCGUAGGUAACCUGCCUUAGGCUGAGGGAUAGCCCGGGGAAACCUGGAUUAAUACCACAUAAUGCGGAGGAGUCACAUGGCUCUUUCGCCAAAGAUUUAUCGGCCUAAGAUGGACCUGCGUCUGAUUAGAUAGUUGGUGAGGUAACGGCCCACCCAAGUCAACGAUCAGUAGCCGACCUGAGAGGGUGAUCGGCCACAUUGGAACUGAGACACGGUCCAAACUCCUACGGGAGGCAGCAGUGGGGAAUAUUGCACAAUGGGGGAAACCCUGAUGCAGCAACGCCGCGUGAGCGAAGAAGGUCUUCGGAUUGUAAAGCUCUGUCCUUGGGGACGAACGAUGACGGUACCCAAGGAGGAAGCCCCGGCUAACUACGUGCCAGCCGCCGC